rnacentral:lncRNA from 1 species
ACUUCCAUGGGGAUGGAAGUUAGGGCUGGAACUCUGCUGGUCACAGCUCUUUAUGGUAGAUGGGGGAGGCUGUGGCCCUUUGUAACUUAACAGGAAUUUUAAUUAGUUCUCAGAAAACGCUGAUGUUUAUCAGGACUCAAGCAAACAAGCUCUUCUUGGGAGUGUAUUUGCCAACCAGAAGGCUUUGGACAAGUUGGUGAACUGUGGUGGAAUAAAAACCUCCAGCUUGAGAGGAGGGGAGAGAUGUGAGGUCUGCGGGCCCUGCCUUCCUGCUACUGUGGAUAACCUACAGCAAUCCGUCUGUGCCUUGGCUGUCCAAUGGAGGAUGAGAUCAUAACUUCCCCCAAUAAGUUCUUUGUGUGUACUGUAUGUGAGUACAUGCUUGUGUGGGUGUGUAUGUAAAAAUGUACACUCGUAUGUGGAGACCAGAGAUGCAUGCCGGGUGCCUUCCUCAAUCGCUUUCCACCUUAUUUCUUUUUAGAUUUAUUUAUUUUAUUUCAUGUAUAUAAGUGCUUUGCCUACAUGCAUAUGUGUGUUCUUUGUGUGUUGGUGGUACCUACAUGCAUAUGUCAGAUGAGGACUUUGGAUCCCCUGGAACUGGAGUUUACAGUUGGCUGUGAGCCACAGUGAGGGUUCUGAGAACCUAACCUGAGUUCUCUGUAAGAGCAGCAACCUGAGUUCUCUGUAAGAGCAGCAAGUGUUCUGACCACCGAGCGAUCUCUUCCGCCCUCCACAUUAGUUUCUGAGGUAGGGGCUCUCACUGAAGCUGGAGCUCACUGAUUUGGCUAGGGAACAGAUGCAUGCAGCCAUGCCUCACUCCUAUGUGGGUGCUAGGGUCCUCAUGCCGUCAUGGCAGGCAUCGUACUGACUGAGGUAUCUCCUAGACCCUUCUAGGUUUUUGUGAGGAUUAAGUGACUGACACAUACUGUAAGUACAAAAAUAUUUGCCACAACAACAACAAUAACGCCCAAUGUCUUAAUAGUAAAGACACAAUUUUCUAAUUCUGACUGUUUCGUGGUUCUCUGCCCUGGUGCUGAGUGAGAGGAAUUGGGAGGAAGGCACUGGACUUCUCCAGAAUGUCAGACUGAGUCCUGCACAAAGGUCUUCUGAGAGCUGCUGGGGGAUGGGAGGAGUGCUCUGUCUAGAGGGGCUGGAGACUGACCCAUUGUUUAGCUGUGCCUUUACCCCACAAGCACAAGGGGCAUCAGGAAAUAAGGCUGCUUUGUAAGAAAGUUCACUUUACUGACACUACCCUCUGGCUUGGAACAAAAGUAAUGGGAGCUCAUUCACAAAACAUCAAUUUCUUCAGCAUGCUGCCCCUGGCACUUGCCUUGUGGAUCUGUGGCAGAGUGCAUGAAGAGAGCAUGCUGCCACCACCAACCUACAGGCAUGGCACAUGUCUCACAGCUGACAACAGUAGACACACAUGUAAACCAGGAUCACGCACAGCCAAGCCUCACACACAUGUCAUCUCACAUCAUCUGAGUGAUGAUCAAAUGGUCAGACAGGGGCUCUCAUGAGUACUCAGUAGGACAAGCAUGCUGAUGGGGGCAGAGGGGGGCGGGUGAGCUUCUCAAAAGCCCAGGAAGGAAGCCACCCAGGCUAUGCUCUGGCUCAGGGAUGGAUCUCCAGGGCCAGGCCUGAUGCUCUCACACCUCAUGCCAUUGCCUCUGAAGGGCCUCUCCGCAGACACGUGAGGAUGGAGGGGAGGAAAGCGGUGCAGACUGAGGGGCUCACACAGUCCUUCACAAUGAAGCUGCCCUUGACCCUGCCCUUUCAGCAUCCCCAGUGCCACCUUAGGCUCUUCUCUGAGCGGCUUUUAUUCCCAGACCUUCUCAUCUGCCACAAGCCUUCAGGGCAUUUGACUGGCAGCCAUGGUAAAUGAAUCCCGCUGAAGAGAGAUAAGAGCAGGCAGAGACUAAGGAGAGACCCCACCACAAAGGAAGCAGAGUAGUCAGCCAUGGAAUGUCCUCGGUUGCUCCGUCAGCAUUCUGUAUGAGCCUUGAAGGGGCUCUGGAAAUGCCAGCAGCCAGAACCUGACCCAGCUCAGACAGCUGGUACAGAGAGCUCAGAGCUCUUCUCAUAACUGAUGCCACUUUUGUUGGUUCCAAAAGAAACAUGCAUGCCUCUGCUCUGAAAGACACCACCUGCGCCUCCCAAAUCUGCCUUAGUCCAGCCAUGUGGUCCAGGGCUUUUAAAUUCUGCCAAUAAUCUUGACUAGGGCUGGUCUAGAGCAGUGGGGUAGGGUGACACAGCCUCACAACAGGAGGGGCCAGAGCUAAGUCCCAUGAGUGGAGGUAAAUGGGCAAACACCUGAUCCAGUCACUUAAAGCUCACAGAAGCUGGAGACUCCACCAGCAGACAGGGCAGGAUUUGGGUGCCAAGCACCGAGAUGCAGACUGCUCCCAGCCUGUUCUGGCAUGUGAAUAAUAGCCAAACAGCAGCUAGGGGAAGAGGCUGUUUACUUGAGUUCAAACUAUUUAUAGCGUCAGCAAUCUGCACAUAUUUGGAUGACAAAUCUCUGGGUUUCAAGUGAGCCGAGCUUUGCUCCUGGACAAUUUCAACAAACACAUUCCCUCCCCACGCCACCCCCGGGUCCCCCAACACGUGUUGCCCUCAGGAUGUCUAACUUGAGUUGCCGAGCUUCUAAAGAUUAUAAAAAGAAAUCACAUUUCAAGAGCAUGUGACUUUUAAUUCAUCUAUCUAUGGGUUUGAAAUACAUAAUAUUUCCUUUAAGGCUUAGAUCAUGAAUCUCAAUCCAUGCACAUUCUUUAAUAGUUUCCAAAGAUCCCAUAAACUGCCAACAGUAUCUGAAUGACUAUAAUCAGCAUAUUCUGCACUGCUAUAACGCUGUCAUGCCCAGCUCAAGACCUACACAAAGAACAUUUCUUAUGACACAGUUUGUGUAGGAGGAUAAUGGUUUUCAGAAGUGAUCUACAAAUAUGUAACCAUACAGGCGUGCCAAACACACAGCAGAAGCAUUCCCCACUGACUGCAGAGCAGAAGCAGUCAGUGCAGGAUUACAGAGGCCUCUGAAACUCACCGCAUGCCACAUGGGAGAAAGGUGGGCUGCGACAAAAGGCAUGCAGAAACUUCUGCAGCUUUAACUCACCAACAGCAUGGCCAAUGAGUCCGUUUGGGAAAACUAGCUACCUCUAAAAGCCACUUUGUUUUUAGAGCUAGGCAUUGCCUCACUCUGAAGCAAGAAAAAUGGCGGUUGUUAGGUCCAUAUGCAGGAUGGCUGCAUUCAAAUGUAAACAGCUGAUCAGUGAGAGGAGUGGUGCUGGACCAGCAGUGUAUGGAGAGGGAACACGGCUUGUCUUUGAAAGGACUGUCCUGUUUCCUAAAUCGUUCCUCUUGCUAAUAACACUUACUAGAAGAUAAAUGAAAGGUUC